UAAUUUCGUUACUUUUGAGCUGUAACUUUAACAUCUCCAGCGUUACUUUUGGGCAUUACUCGGGGGGGGAGCGAGGGAAGUCUUCUGCUCCUCUGAUUGGUGGAUGAAAGUCAUAUGCCUCAUAAUGAGCUUCUGCGCAGCGUUGCUCUUCCCUCAUGCUCUGUGGGUGUGAGGAGGUGGAGAGUGAGACAGUCGUGGAGCAGAGAGAGAGAGAAAAAUUGCUUCAAAAAUGGACAGUGGUGGAGAAGAAAGGAGUGGAGGGAGAAAGCCAGAGGGCAAGGACGUGGAUGAAGGAGGCGAAAGGGGCAGCAGCAGAAUGGAGAUGAAGAACUGCGGAGUUAUUACAGACAAGCCUGUUGCAGUUGUUGCUGCUGAGAGCAACAGCCAGUUGGUGCAGCCACUUGAGUCACAGCUCAUUGAUUCUGAGGAGGUGAAACUGGAAAGUGAAGUUCACAAAGGAGGCCCUGUGCAUGAUGAUGAGGACAACAUGAAGCAGUGCCAGUUGCCAACAGCCACAUCUGCAGAACAGCAAGUACCAUGGUUUGGCUUUGAGAAAGCUUGUACAUUUGUGAGCCAGAGUGGGAGAAAUGUCGUCGUAAGAUGCAGUUACUGCCUUCCAGGGAUCAAAACUCUAAAACCAGCUAUUUCCUCCUCAUCCAAUGUGAAGAAGCAUUUAGAGGGUACACCCUGAGAAGACGCAAUAAAGGCAAGGAGACAUGGCCAUCCUGAACCAAUGCAUGACGCCCCCUUCUUCCAAAAUGCUGAAACAGCAGCAGACAACCCUUGAGAGGUGGGGAUCUGGCAAGGAGGCUGUCACCCAGAGCAAUCUCGACAGGAAAAUCAUUGAUUUCAUUGUAGAGGAGACAUUACCACUUCAGACUGUGGACAAACCAUCAUUCAUUAGUCUGGUUCGCACUGGACACCCAAAAGAUCUCACCAUCAUAUGCGGCAAGACUCUGAGAGACAGAAUUUAGAAGACAGCAUGCCACAUGAAACUCUUGCAAACCAAAUGAGUGCUGUGGCAUAUAUAGUAACCACUGCAGAUUGUUGGACCAAUGACAAGAAGAGUUACUUUGGGAUAACAGCCCUCUGGAUCAACCCAACUACCCUGAAACGUGAGGUGAGGGCUUUGGCUUGCAAGCUUCUGAAGGGGCCUCAUACAUAUGAUGUCCUUGCAAAAGCACUGCAUGAUGUGCAUGUGCAGUACAAGAUUCACAACAAAGUUAUGUGCACUACUAUAGACAAUGGCUCCAACUUUGUGAAAGCGUUCAAAGUUUUCAUGGCCAAAGAACCAGCAGAAGCUGCAGCAGAGCUUGGAAGUAACUCAUUAUUUUUAACGAGUUACUUGUAAUUAGUUACAAUUUUAAAUAACGAGUGGGUAAUUCCAUUACAUUUGGCAAGUAACGGAAUGACUAGUAAUUUCCCUACUUUUCAGCUGCAACUUUAACGUUUCCACGUUAGGUUGGAUGUUACUUGGGGGUGGGGACAAGGGGAAGUCAGCUCCUGGCUGUGAUUGGUUAACACAAGACAUGUGCCUCACACUGAUUGGACCUCUGCGCAGACUGUCGCUUCCCUCGUGAUCUGUGUUAGGAGGCACGAGGGAAGAGGUGAAUAGGCAGGGCCUGCUAGCAUCUGAGAGAAAAAAAUGGACGCCGGAGGAAAAAGCCAGGGCAAGGACAACGGAGCAGAAGGCAGCAGCAGAAUGGCGAAGAGCUGUGGAGAGACGCCUGUUGCAGGUUUUGCUGCUGAGAGCAGCAGUCAGUUAGUGCGGCCACUUGAGUCACAGCUUGUUGAUCCUGAGGAGGCAAAACUAGAAAGUGAGGUUCAGAAAGGAGGCCCUGUGCACGAGGAGGAGGAGGGCAUGAAGCAGUGCCAGUUGCCCACAGCCACAUCUGCAGAACAGCAAGUACCAUGGUUUGGCUUUGAGAAAGCUUGUACAUUUGUGAGCCAGAGUGGGAAAAAUGUUGUUGUACGAUGCAAUUACUGCCUUCCAAGGAUCAAAAAUCUGAGAUCAGCUGUUUCCUCCUCAUCCAAUGUGAAGAAACAU